rnacentral:snoRNA from 1 species
CUGCACUGCUCAGUGACCGGCUGGUCUUUCCCUGACCUCCUUGGUCUCCUUGCAGUGCCAGAUCAAUUCCUUCUAGCAGAAGGGCCAGGCACUUGUGGUCUGUCCCUUUCGAAAGCUGGGUACACAC